rnacentral:rRNA from 1 species
GACGAACGCUGGCGGCGUACCUAAUACAUGCAAGUAGAACGCACAGUUUAUACCGUAGCUUGCUACACCAUAGACUGUGAGUUGCGAACGGGUGAGUAACGCGUAGGUAACCUGCCUGGUAGCGGGGGAUAACUAUUGGAAACGAUAGCUAAUACCGCAUAAUAUUGAUUAUUGCAUGAUAAUUGAUUGAAAGAUGCUAUUGCAUCACUACCAGAUGGACCUGCGUUGUAUUAGCUAGUAGGUGAGGUAACGGCUCACCUAGGCGACGAUACAUAGCCGACCUGAGAGGGUGAUCGGCCACACUGGGACUGAGACACGGCCCAGACUCCUACGGGAGGCAGCAGUAGGGAAUCUUCGGCAAUGGACGAAAGUCUGACCGAGCAACGCCGCGUGAGUGAAGAAGGUUUUCGGAUCGUAAAGCUCUGUUGUAAGAGAAGAACGGGUGUGAGAGUGGAAAGUUCACACUGUGACGGUAUCUUACCAGAAAGGGACGGCUAACUACGUG